UGGGGAAUUUUGGACAAUGGGCGCAAGCCUGAUCCAGCCAUGCCGCGUGCGGGAAGAAGGCCUUCGGGUUGUAAACCGCUUUUGUCAGGGAAGAAAUCUUCUGAGUUAAUACCUCGGGAGGAUGACGGUACCUGAAGAAUAAGCACCGGCUAACUACGUGCCAGCAGCCGCGGUAAUACGUAGGGUGCAAGCGUUAAUCGGAAUUACUGGGCGUAAAGCGUGCGCAGGCGGUUUUGUAAGACAGAGGUGAAAUCCCCGGGCUCAACCUGGGAACUGCCUUUGUGACUGCAUGGCUUGAGUGCGGCAGAGGGGGCAUGGAAUUCCGCGUGUAGCAGUGAAAUGCGUAGAUAUGCGGAGGAAACACCGAUGGCGAAGGCAAUCCCCUGGGCCUGCACUGACGCUCAUGCACGAAAGCGUGGGGAGCAAAACAGGAUUAGAUAGCCCUGGUAGUCCACGCCCUAAACGAUGUCAACUGGUUGUUGGGAAGGUUCCUUCUCAGUAACGUAGCUAACGCGUGAAGUUGACCGCCU
rnacentral:rRNA from 1 species